GAUGAACGCUGGCGGCGUGCCUAAUACAUGCAAGUCGAGCGAACAGACGAGGAGCUUGCUCCUCUGACGUUAGCGGCGGACGGGUGAGUAACACGUGGAUAACCUACCUAUAAGACUGGGAUAACUUCGGGAAACCGGAGCUAAUACCGGAUAAUAUAUUGAACCGUAUGGUUCAAUAGUGAAAGACGGUUUUGCUGUCACUUAUAGAUGGAUCCGCGCCGCAUUAGCUAGUUGGUAAGGUAACGGCUUACCAAGGCGACGAUGCGUAGCCGACCUGAGAGGGUGAUCGGCCACACUGGAACUGAGACACGGUCCAGACUCCUACGGGAGGCAGCAGUAGGGAAUCUUCCGCAAUGGGCGAAAGCCUGACGGAGCAACGCCGCGUGAGUGAUGAAGGUCUUCGGAUCGUAAAACUCUGUUAUUAGGGAAGAACAAAUGCGUAAGUAACUAUGCACGUCUUGACGGUACCUAAUCAGAAAGCCACGGCUAACUACGUG
rnacentral:rRNA from 1 species